rnacentral:rRNA from 1 species
GACUCCUACGGGAGGCAGCAGUGGGGAAUAUUGCACAAUGGGGGAAACCCUGAUGCAGCCAUGCCGCGUGUGUGAAGAAGGCCUUCGGGUUGUAAAGCACUUUCAGUUGUGAGGAAAAGUUAGUAGUUAAUACCUGCUAGCCGUGACGUUAACAACAGAAGAAGCACCGGCUAACUCCGUGCCAGCAGCCGCGGUAAUACGGAGGGUGCGAGCGUUAAUCGGAAUUACUGGGCGUAAAGCGCACGCAGGCGGUUUGUUAAGCUAGAUGUGAAAGCCCCGGGCUCAACCUGGGAUGGUCAUUUAGAACUGGCAGACUAGAGUCUUGGAGAGGGGAGUGGAAUUCCAGGUGUAGCGGUGAAAUGCGUAGAUAUCUGGAGGAACAUCAGUGGCGAAGGCGACUCCCUGGCCAAAGACUGACGCUCAUGUGCGAAAGUGUGGGUAGCGAACAGGAUUAGAUACCCUGGUAGUCCACACCGUAAACGCUGUCUACUAGCUGUGUGUGCCUUUAAGGCUGUGCGUAGCGAAGCUAACGCGAUAAGUAGACCGCCUGGGGAGUACGGCCGCAAGGUUAAAACUCAAAUGAAUUGACGGGGGCCCGCACAAGCGGUGGAGCAUGUGGUUUAAUUCGAUGCAACGCGAAGAACCUUACCUACACUUGACAUGCUGAGAAGUUUCCAGAGAUAGUUUGGUGCCUUCGGGAACUCAGACACAGGUGCUGCA